CACGUAGGGCGCAAGCGUUGUCCGGAAUUAUUGGGCGUAAAGAGCUCGUAGGUGGCUUGCCACGUCUGCUGUGAAAACCCGGGGCUUAACCCUGGGCCUGCAGUGGAUACGGGCAAGCUAGAGGUAGGUAGGGGAGAAUGGAAUUCCCGGUGUAGCGGUGAAAUGCGCAGAUAUCGGGAGGAACACCGGUGGCGAAGGCGGUUCUCUGGGCCUUACCUGACACUGAGGAGCGAAAGCGUGGGGAG
rnacentral:rRNA from 1 species